AUUUGUCUAGCUCAGUUGGUAAAAUACAAGGUUAAAAACCUUGUGAUUGUGGGUUCGAGCCCCACGGUGGGUG
rnacentral:tRNA from 1 species